AUUUUUAUUCCAAUCUCGAAACCAGAGCCCACAGUCCUCUGUGGAUGCUCCACAGAGGAUUGCGGGCUCUGGUUUCGAGAUUGUUUUUAUU